rnacentral:rRNA from 1 species
UACGGAGGGUGCAAGCGUUAUCCGGAUUCACUGGGUUUAAAGGGUGCGUAGGUGGGUCUGUAAGCUCAGUGGUGAAAUCAUCCGUGCUUAACAUGGAAACUGCCAUUGAUACUAUAGGUCUUGAAUUUCUGGAGGUAAGCGGAAUAUGUCAUGUAGCGGUGAAAUGCUUAGAUAUGACAUAGAACACCAAUUGCGAAGGCAGCUGCUACACAAAUAUUGGACGCUGAGGCACGAAAGCGUGGGAUCAAACAGG